GAUGAACGCUGGCGGCGUGCCUAAUACAUGCAAGUCGAGCGAACGGACGAGAAGCUUGCUUCUCUGAUGUUAGCGGCGGACGGGUGAGUAACACGUGGAUAACCUACCUAUAAGACUGGGAUAACUUCGGGAAACCGGAGCUAAUACCGGAUGAUAUUUUGAACCGCAUGGUUCAAAAGUGAAAGACGGUCUUGCUGUCACUUAUAGAUGGAUCCGCGCUGCAUUAGCUAGUUGGUAAGGUAACGGCUUACCAAGGCAACGAUGCAUAGCCGACCUGAGAGGGUGAUCGGCCACACUGGAACUGAGACACGGUCCAGACUCCUACGGGAGGCAGCAGUAGGGAAUCUUCCGCAAUGGGCGAAAGCCUGACGGAGCAACGCCGCGUGAGUGAUGAAGGUCUUCGGAUCGUAAAACUCUGUUAUUAGGCAAGAACAUAUGUGUAAGUAACUGUGCACAUCUUGACGGUACCUAAUCAGAAAGCCACGGCUAACUACGUG
rnacentral:rRNA from 1 species